rnacentral:rRNA from 1 species
CCUACGGGCGGCUGCAGUGAGGAAUAUUGGUCAAUGGGCGGGAGCCUGAACCAGCCAAGUCGCGUGAGGGAAGACGGUCCUAUGGAUUGUAAACCUCUUUAGGCGGGGAGCAAUGCCGGGCACGUGUGCCCGGAGGGAGAGUACCUGCAGAAUAAGCAUCGGCUAACUCCGUGCCAGCAGCCGCGGUAAUACGGAGGAUGCGAGCGUUAUCCGGAUUUUUUGGGUUUACAGGGUGCGCAGGCGGAAGAUCAAGUCAGCGGGAAAAUUGAGAGGCUCAACCUCUUCGAGCCGUUGAAACUGGUGUUCUUGAGUGAGCGAGAAGUAUGCGGAAUGCGUGGUGUAGCGGUGAAAUGCAUAGAUAUCACGCAGAACUCCGAUUGCGAAGGCAGCAUACCGGCGCUCAACUGACGCUCAUGCACGAAAGUGUGGGUAUCGAACAGGAUUAGAUACCCUUGUAGUC